CCUACGGGUGGCAGCAGUAGGGAAUAUUGCUCAAUGGGGGAAACCCUGACGCAGCAACGCCGCGUGGAGGAUGAAGGCUUUCGGAUUGUAAACUUCUUUUGUUAGAGAAGAUAAUGACGGUAUCUAACGAAUAAGCACUGGCGAACUCCGUGCCAGCAGCCGCGGUCAUACGGAGGGUGCAAGCGUUACUCGGAAUCACUGGGCGUAAAGAGCGCGUAGGCGGGAUAGCAAGUCAGAUGUGAAAUCCUAUGGCUUAACCAUAGUAAUGCAUUUGAAACUGUUAUUCUAGAGUAUGGGAGAGGUAGGUAGAAUUCUUGGUGUAGGGGUAAAAUGCGUAGAGAUCAAGAGGAAUACUGAUAGCGAAGGCGACCAGCUAGAACAUAACUGACGCUGAGGCGCGAAAGCGUGGGGAGCAAACAGGAUUAGAUACCCGUGUAGUC
rnacentral:rRNA from 1 species